GGGUUGUGAUAUUGGGUUUUUAAUUUGUUGUUUUCAUCUAACACACUGGUGAUGAAGACCUUUCUAAGAUUGUUUUUUUUUGUGCUUCCUUUUUUAUUAUUCAUUUAACACACAAUCUUAUUUCUCAUUUGUUUUUUUUUCCUUUCUUUUUAUGCAGUUGAGGUUUUAAGAUUUGGGCUUCUAGACAAUACGCCAUAAGACAGGUAUGAGUGUUUCCCUUCUGCUAUUAAAGUGUUUGUUUUCUUAAUAUUUCAAGUUUGAUGGAUGUGGUUGGUUUUGUUUUGAAUUGAUUCAUAGAUAACUGAUCUGCAAGUACAGUAUGGUUUAUAUAGGUUUUAUCGUUUUCAAACUGGCGUACAUGUCUUUGCUCUAUUUACUUCUCUGUAAUGUAUUUAUAAACAGCUUUAGUUUUCGACUGUCAUGAGUUAGAUAGCUUGCUGAAUGAGUCUUCAAAGUUCUCUGCCCAUUUUUUUUAAAUGUGCCUAAAAUUGUGAGCUUUAUGGACUCAUUGAUUGAAACAUUCAUAAGUGUAGUUAACUUUUUUUUUAAAUGUGUCAAAGCUCUCUGCCUAAAUAUUUUUUAAGAACAUGAAUUCUUGAGUUCAUUAGGGUCAAUAUAGAAAGCAUUGUUUUCAAGUCUGAUAAUUGGCCCUUUAUCAUUGAGUUCAUUAAGUUCAUUAAGACAAUUGUGAUUGAUUUGUGGGUGUAUUUUGCAGAAGGGUAAGUAUUUGAGAGGAAGAUUUGAAUAAAGAGAUGAAGAACUUGGUGUCGGAUCGCAGUUUUUUCAUUGACAGUGAAGAAGAAGAUGAUGAGGCAAAGGACAACAUAAUGAUUCUGAUUCUUCGGGUUCGGAAGCCUAUCACUGCCAGCAGCAGUAGCAGCAGCAGAUUCAGCUCAGUUCUUACAACACCCAAAAGCCUCAGAGUUACAGGUUCUCAUCUCUCUGUCCUUUUGCUCUCUUUUGCUCUUUGAAAUUUGUUAGCUAGUUCUGUUGAUUUUAAGUUUUUUUUAUUAUUUUCCCACAUCACUGAAGUUUUUUUUAGAUAAUUUUUGUAGGGAGAAUAGGCCAACUUUCUAAUGUAUUUCUCUUUGUUUUGAUUUGAUGAUCUAAAAGUCACACUAAGAAUAGUAAUCGAAACAAGUAUUGCAUAAGGUAUUAGUGCCAAAAUGACAAAUUUAGUUAACAUUUCAGUUGGCAUCUCUAAACUUUAUGGAGCUCUUUCAAGGAUCAGGAUCCUCUCGUUGGCUAUUAAUGGUGUUUGGGUAUCCUCAGCUUUUCAUCUCAGCCGUUAAUGACGAAUCCAACGAUUAAGAAUCUACUACGUCAGCAAAAUUAGCAUUAAGUUUGCAUUAAUUACGUACUUUCAAUAUUCUACUGUUAAUCACCCUUAAUGCCGUUUAUGUUGCUUUCUCUCGGCAUUUUGCCUCUAUGGAGUCUUUACCUCUUCCUCAAACUAAAAUGGUGGACAUGUUCACCCAUUAACAUGAAUUUUCCAUGAGCUUGAAUAUCAAUCCAGUAAUCUCGUAAAUUAAUAAAGAUUUGUCAAAUUCAAUAUGGGAUAUCUAAAUUCCCAGAAGAUUACCAUUUAGUUUGCUAAAUCUCCAAGACCCAAAUUGGAGAUGUCAAAGAAGAUCGAAUUGGAGAAAGACGAAGUGAUGAUCUGUUUAGAACCUCAACUUUGGACCAUCACAGAGCUCGGAGUAGGAUUUUCUAUCAUCUGGGUCAGUAAUGAAGAUUUCUCUAAUUUAAUCAACAGAGAAAAACUUUCUCUUGUUUUUCUCUAAUUCUUUGGUGUUCAAAGCCAUUCUGGGUUCGAUAUUUAUGUUCAGAUCCAAUACGAGGAAUUUUCAACCCAAG
rnacentral:lncRNA from 1 species